ACGCGAGGAACCUUACCAGGUCUUGACAUCCCACUGACCGCUAUGGAGACAUAGCUUUCCCUUCGGGGACAGUGGUGACAGGUGGUGCAUGGUUGUCGUCAGCUCGUGUCGUGAGAUGUUGGGUUAAGUCCCGCAACGAGCGCAACCCUUGAUCUUAGUUGCCAGCAUUUAGUUGGGCACUCUAAGGUGACUGCCGGUGACAAACCGGAGGAAGGUGGGGAUGACGUCAAAUCAUCAUGCCCCUUAUGACCUGGGCUACACACGUGCUACAAUGGAUGGUACAAAGGGCAGCAAAGCGGUGACGCCUAGCAAAUCCCAUAAAACCAUUCUCAGUUCGGAUUGUAGGCUGCAACUCGCCUACAUGGAGCCGGAAUCGCUAGUAAUCGCGGAUCAGCAUGCCGCGGUGAAUACGUUCCCGGGCCUUGCACUCACCGCCCGU
rnacentral:rRNA from 1 species